rnacentral:rRNA from 1 species
GUGGUGAAUCUUGCGCAAUGGGCGAAAGCCUGACGCAGCCAUGCCGCGUGGAUGAUGAAGGUCUUAGGAUUGUAAAAUCCUUUCACCGGUGAAGAUAAUGACUGUAGCCGGAGAAGAAGCCCCGGCUAACUUCGUGCCAGCAGCCGCGGUAAUACGAAGGGGGCUAGCGUUGCUCGGAUUUACUGGGCGUAAAGGGCGCGUAGGCGGACAUUUAAGUCAGGGGUGAAAUCCCGGGGCUCAACCUCGGAACUGCCUUUGAUACUGGGUGUCUUGAGUAUGAGAGAGGUGUGUGGAACUCCGAGUGUAGAGGUGAAAUUCGUAGAUAUUCGGAAGAACACCAGUGGCGAAGGCGACACACUGGCUCAUUACUGACGCUGAGGCGCGAAAGCGUGGGGAGCAAACAGGAUUAGAAACCCUGGUAGUCC